rnacentral:lncRNA from 10 species
UGAGCCCCCAACCAGGGUCCUGGCCAGAGACCCUUUAUCCACUGAUGAGGAGGCUCUGCUGGGGGAGGAGUCAGAAGGGAAGACGCGCUGAGGAUAAACUGAACAGGAAGGAAUUCUGGCUGAAAUUCUAUCAAAGCGGACUGCAAGAUGUUUUCCCCAAUACCAGGACACUAUUCCAAAGUGACGUGAACACCAAGCCUCCAUCACAGAAGCCGCUCCACUCUGUUCUUAGCCCCUUUUCCCUCCCAAGAACAACCUGAUGUUCAUGGCAAGCCAGAAACUUACCGUUGGAAGCCCCAGGCUUUACGCCUUGCCGUGAAUCUCCAAGGUUUCUCCCAACAAGCGCAUCCGUGCGGGACCACGACCCUCUUUCCGAGACCACUGCUUAAGUCAGAAGCACAAAAGUGGGUGCAGUGAGAGAUACAAGUUCAUUCCACCAGCACCAGCAUCAAACCCAGCACCCAGCCCCAGUGCGCCCUGGCCCGCCUGUUGCAGGGGCCUCAGCGAUAGCGGUCGGGAGGGC